UACGUAGGGGGCGAGCGUUAUCCGGAUUUAUUGGGCGUAAAGCGUGUGUAGGCGGUUUGUUAAGUCUGAGAUUAAAGCCCGAGGCUCAACCUCGGUUCGUUUCAGAAACUGGCAGACUUGAGUGUGGUAGAGGCAAGUGGAAUUUCUAGUGUAGCGGUUAAAUGCGUAGAUAUAUGGAAGAACACCAGUGGCGAAGGCGGCUCUCUGGUCUGUAACUGACGCUGAGGCUCGAAAGCAUGGGUAGCGAACAGG
rnacentral:rRNA from 1 species